UUCCAGACUCCUACGGGAGGCAGCAGUGGGGGAUACUGCACAAUGGGGGAAACCCUGAUGCAGCGACGCCGCGUGUGGGAAGACGGUCCUCUGGAUUGUAAACCACUGUCCCCAGGGACGAAGAUGACGGUACCUGGGGAGGAAGCUCCGGCUAAAUACGUGCCAGCAGCCGCGGUAAUACGUAUGGAGCAAGCGUUAUCCGGAAUUACUGGGUGUAAAGGGAGCGUAGGCGGCAAGGCAAGUCUGAUGUGAAAACCCAGGGCCCAACCCUGGGACUGCAUUGGAAACUGUAUUGCUUGAGUACCGGAGAGGCAGGCGGAAUUCCUAGUGUAGCGGUGAAAUGCGUAGAUAUUAGGAGGAACACCAGUGGCGAAGGCGGCCUGCUGGACGGUAACUGACGCUGAGGCUCGAAAGCGUGGGGAGCAAACAGGAUUAGAUACCCGGGUAA
rnacentral:rRNA from 1 species